rnacentral:rRNA from 1 species
GAUGAACGCUGGCGGCGUGCCUAAUACAUGCAAGUCGAGCGGAAGGACGAGACGCUUGCUUCUUUGACGUUAGCGGCGGACGGGUGAGUAACAUGUGGAUAACCUACCUAUCAGUCUGGGAUCACUUCGGGAAUCCGGCGCUUACCCCGGAUAAUAUUUUGAACCGCAUGGUUCAAAAGUGAAUGACGGCCUUGCUGUAACUACUAGCUGCUUCCCGGCUGCAUUAGCUAGUUGGUACGGUAACGGCUUACCAAGGCAACGAUGCAUAGCCGACCUGACAGGCUGAUCGGCCACACUGGAACGGAGACACGGUCCAGACUCCUACGGGAGGCAGCAGUAGGGAAUCUUCCGCAGUGGGCGGAAGCCUGACAGAGCAACGCCGCGUGAGUGAUGAAGAUCUUCGGAUCGUAAAACUCUGUUAUUAGGGAUGAACAGAUGUGUAAGUAACUGUGCACAUCUUGACGGUAACUAAUCAGAAAGCAACGGCUAACUACGUG